rnacentral:rRNA from 1 species
AUUGAACGCUGGCGGCAGGCCUAACACAUGCAAGUCGAGCGGAUGAAGGGAGCUUGCUCCUGGAUUCAGCGGCGGACGGGUGAGUAAUGCCUAGGAAUCUGCCUGGUAGUGGGGGAUAACGUCCGGAAACGGGCGCUAAUACCGCAUACGUCCUGAGGGAGAAAGUGGGGGAUCUUCGGACCUCACGCUAUCAGAUGAGCCUAGGUCGGAUUAGCUAGUUGGUGGGGUAAAGGCCUACCAAGGCGACGAUCCGUAACUGGUCUGAGAGGAUGAUCAGUCACACUGGAACUGAGACACGGUCCAGACUCCUACGGGAGGCAGCAGUGGGGAAUAUUGGACAAUGGGCGAAAGCCUGAUCCAGCCAUGCCGCGUGUGUGAAGAAGGUCUUCGGAUUGUAAAGCACUUUAAGUUGGGAGGAAGGGCAGUAAGUUAAUACCUUGCUGUUUUGACGUUACCAACAGAAUAAGCACCGGCUAACUUCGUGCCAGCAGCCGCGGUAAUACGAAGGGUGCAAGCGUUAAUCGGAAUUACUGGGCGUAAAGCGCGCGUAGGUGGUUCAGCAAGUUGGAUGUGAAAUCCCCGGGCUCAACCUGGGAACUGCAUCCAAAACUACUGAGCUAGAGUACGGUAGAGGGUGGUGGAAUUUCCUGUGUAGCGGUGAAAUGCGUAGAUAUAGGAAGGAACACCAGUGGCGAAGGCGACCACCUGGACUGAUACUGACACUGAGGUGCGAAAGCGUGAGGAGCAAACAGGAUUAGAUACCCUGGUAGUCCACGCCGUAAACGAUGUCGACUAGCCGUUGGGAUCCUUGAGAUCUUAGUGGCGCAGCUAACGCGAUAAGUCGACCGCCUGGGGAGUACGGCCGCAAGGUUA